UACGUAUGGUGCAAGCGUUAUCCGGAUUUACUGGGUGUAAAGGGAGCGCAGGCGGCACGGCAAGCCUGAUGUGAAAGCCCGCGGCCCAACCGCGGGACUGCAUUGGGAACUACUGGGCUGGAGUGCCGGAGAGGUAGGCGGAAUUCCUAGUGUAGCGGUGAAAUGCGUAGAUAUUAGGAGGAACACCAGCGGCGAAGGCGGCCUGCUGGACGAUGACUGACGUUGAGGCUCGAAAGCGUGGGGAGCAAACAGG
rnacentral:rRNA from 1 species